CCCCACCCCACCCUCCUCCUGCUCUCCUCUCCCUCCUCCACCUCUCCCCAUCUCCCGCGCCUCCACCCCCACCCCACCCUCCUCCUGCUCUCCUCUCCCUCCUCCACCUCUCUCCAUCUCUCGCACCUGUUCUCCCCUCCCCCUCUGCCGAUCCUGGGGAUCCGACCCCCGCUCCCCCCACCCACCUCUUCCAUCCUGGUCCGUCCUCCCAUCAGACCCCGAGAGCCCCGAGGACGAGGACACGACUGCCCUGCUGGGGAGGAACGCAGACACCCUCCUCCACAUUUCAGAGGACAAUGGGGGCACAGAGAACCCCCUACUCGCCCCCUGCUCUCCCCCGCCGCUUGCCCGCCCUGGCCCCACACCACUCCCCCCGCCCUGCCCCCCGCCGCUCCCCCCUCCCCAUCUCCCCAGUCGACCUGGACCUGGAUGAGUCCCACGUCUGAGAAGCGUCCCUGUAACGUUUCAGUAACGUUUUGUUAACAUUUCAGUAACAAAACUCGAAACGUAACGUUAUAACUAGGGCCAGGAGUUUUUCCCUGACUGAACUUGCGUGACCGCACUAGGAAAAAGUCCUGGCCCUAGUUACAAGGUUCUAAACUACAGACGUAGGCUAUAACUAGGGCCCGGAGUUUUGACCCUUUAGGUUAAAUCACAAGGUCCGGCUGGGGAAACUCCUGGCCCUAGUUAUGACCCUGGCAGGGUAGCUACUCUGUGUCGGUCCCCUUCUAUAUCUUUGGAGUCUGUGUUUAGACAUUGAGCUGCCUGAUAACCUUCUAGCUAACGGAGGUCAGAGGGCGCUUGAAAAAUGAACCUGUUGGAAUACUCUAAAAAUAAAAAUGCAUCCUCCCUUCCUUGAUCUGAUCUGACAUAAAAUGACUGGUGAAAUCAGUGCAGUAGAAUCCUUGCUCUCACCUAUCCAAUCACAUUAGAUUAGUGAUUACCUCAAGAAAAAGAAGGGAGGAAACAUGCAUCUUUAGAGUAUUAGAACAGGGCCAAGGACCAAUACCUGUUAGUGUUCUCCUCUUGCCCACUCCCCUGCCCCUCUCUCCCCUUCUCUCUCUGCUCUCUUCUGUCCUGUUAGAGCACCAAGAUGAAAUCCAUACUUCACUAUGUCUACAGUACCAGUGACAGUACAUCCUCACCUCUGACAUUUUAACCCAUCUCAUACCAAAGUAUUCAAAUCAAAUGCAGAAUCAACAUGCCUUCUUCACACGUCAGGGUGGAUUAAUCCAUGGAGUCCCAACAGGUGAUCAAGUGGGACUGUUACUGUUGCUAGGUAGAUCACAUUCUAUUUGUUGUGGUCUAUUGAAAAGAGAAGGGAGAGUGUUUCCAGCCAUUGGCUGCUACAAACAGACAUCUGUUUACCUUUUGGUUGACCUUGUCACCUCCCAAGAACUGUUUACAGUGAAUCUGCUGAAGGGUAAACUGUUGACUAGAGAAAUUAAAUGUACAUUAGCUAUGAUAUUAUAUAAUAUUAUGAAAUGUAUUAUAUUUAAUCCUGAAGACUAUUUUAAAGAAAGAUUUAAUAUAUAUAAUUGUCAAAGUAUUGCAGAGAGGCAUAGUAUGUUUGUCAUUAGGAUAAUAUAUUAGUGGCCUCCCAGGUGGCCACACUGCGGUCUAGGGCACUGCAUCGCAGUGAGGCGUCACUACAGACCCGGGUUCGAUCCCAGGCUGUGUCACAACCAGCCGUGACCUGGAGUCCCAUAGGGCGGUGCACAAUUGGCCCAGCGUGGUCUGGGUUAGGGGAGGGUUGGGCCGGGGGGGGCUUUACUUGGCUCAUUGUGCUCUAGUGACUCCUUGUGGCGGGCCGGGCACCUGCAGGCUGACAUUAGAAGUCAGUUAAACGGUGUUUCCUCUGACACAUUGGUGCAUCUGGCCUCCGGGUUAAGUGGGUGGGUGUUAAGGAGCGUGGUUUGGCUGCUAAUGUUUCAGAGGACGCAUGACUCAACCUUUGCCUUUUUUUGUGAGAAAAAGGGGGGAAAACCAGAAUGUUUAUUUAUUAAUAGAUGGAUAGAUUGACAUAAUUAUUUAUAAAAUAUUUAUCCUCUUGGGGUUUCUAGGUUUGAUUUAUUGACAAUUGACACACUGAGUGGUUGUUAUUUUCCUGUGGAAGUUGAGUCUGUUAGAUGAGAAGAGGUUCUUUAUGGAGGUUGAGUCUGUUAGAUGAGAAGAGGUUCUUUAUGGACGUUGAGUCUGUUAGAUGAGAAGAGGUUCUUUAUGGAGGUUGAGUCUGUUAGAUGAGAAGAGGCUCUUUAUGGAGGUUGAGUCUGUUAGAUGAGAAGAGGUUCUUUAUGGAGGUUGAGUCUGUUAGAUGAGAAGAGUCCAAAGCGCUAUAAGUGGGGCAGGUCAUACUUGGAAGACAAUCCUAACAUCAACUGAAGUAAAAUUAGGGUCUCCAUAUAGCUGAGGUUCAGCAUUGUAGCACGCUUGAAAUGUGAAGGUAAUUUCAGAUUGAGCCGUCAUAAGUCACUUCAACGGUUAAAAGUUGGGUAAAAAUAAGUUGAUUCAACGUCAUCACGGUGAUUAUUUUGGUUGAAAUGAGGUGGAAACAAUGUUGAUACAACCAGUUUUGGCCCAGUGGAUGAAUGUUGUUUUAUGUGUAAUCAAAUCCAGGUUCUGUUUUGAAUAGCCUCCAACGUAAUACUGACCUUCUGUCGUACUGAAAGCAUCAUGCAUAAAGAAUAGGUAACUGGUUAUGGGCACCGAGGUAUUAUUAGUAUGUCCCAGUAGUGUCAUAGAGUUUAUAAUGAUGCUUUUUAUUGUUGUGUUUUCAAUGUCUUGAAGAAAGGUUUCUAGUCCUCAAAACAUUAUGGCAACAAGAUCCCUGAUUCUGAGUUGUAGCAGUUAGGAUACCUCCUUGUUCAACUUAUGCCUUAAACUAGAGAACUGGGAGGACCCCUCCAGCUCCUUAAUAAUGGUCUGUUCCCUGACUGAGGUCCUCUUAUGUGCCAUGGGGCUUGGUACAGUCCAAACCUGAGAUGGGUGUGCUGCAGUCUACUAUCUUCUGGUUAAUGUUGGUUUUGCACCAGAUCAGUGAAAUGAGGAUGUAGUUAUGAACUAAACUGUGUAAAAAAACAUUAGGAACAACUUCCUAAUAUUGAGUUGCACACCCUUUUCCCCCUCAAAACAGCUUCAAUUCGUCGAGGCACGGACUCUAAAGUUGUGGAAAGCGUUCCACAGGGAUGCUGGCCCAUGUUGACUCCAAUGCUUCCCACAGUUGUGUCAUGUUCGCUGGAUGUCCUUUGGGUGGUGGACCAUUCUUGAUACACAUGGGAAACUGUUGGGUGUGAAAAACCCAGAAGCGUUGCAGUUCUUGACACAAACCGGUGCCCCUGGCAGCUACUACCAUAUCCCCUUGAAAGGCACUUAAAUCAUUAGUCUUGCCUAUUUACCCUCUGAAUGGCACACAUACACAAUCCAUGUCUCAAUUGUCUCAAGGCUUAAAAAUCAUUCUUUAACCUCUCCUCCCCUUCAUCUACACUGACUGAAGUGGAUUUAUGAGGGAUCAUAGCUUUCACCUGGAUUCACCUGGUCAGAGCAGGUGUUCCUAAUGGUUUGUACACUCAGUUAUAUGUGAAAGAAAGAAUCCUGAAUAUCUUCUACCAUUUCCCCCUGUUUGACGGCAUCAGUGCAGAAGCAUUAGUAGUGAUAUGAAUAGGUGCCAUAAUGCACAUAUGACUAUUGCACUGUGAGUCGGUCUCAUAGCUGUGUCUGCUUCUGUGUGUGAUCUAAAUAUACUGCUGUGUAGUUCCCUGGUUAUCAGAUCUAUAGUGCUGGUUAUCAGAUCUAUAGUGCCCAUAUCGUUAGAGGGGAUUCUAUUUCAAUGAUAAUAUCACUAUAGUUCAUUCUAGAACCCAGGGGGAUAUUACAAAAGUCUAUUAUACUGUAUAAGCCAAUUAUACUGUAGGCGACAUAUUCUGGUGUCCCUGUGGACAUGUGUUGUCUUGUCAGUGCUAACGGUCAGUGUCUGUCUGUGUGUGUAGUGCCAAUGCUCUCUGCUGCGGAGCUGUCCUUGUGCAGAUGCUUUCUGGGAGGUUGGCAUGGAGACUUAUUCAUCAAACGUGCCAUAUAUUCCAAAGUCAUCUGCAUUCUGCAGUUUGUCCCAUGUAAUGUACUGUUGAAGUGCUCUACUUCCAACUGGAACUGUUUUGGGUGAGCGAUCUAUUUAGGAUCGCAAAAUGUCUAACUUUUCCAAAAUAACCAGGUUUUCCAGAAAUCUUGGUUGGAGGAUUCCCGGAUUUCUUGUUUAUUACUUUCGGAUUCCUUGACUCUUCCAACUAGUAUAUCAGGAGUUUGAGGAAAGUCACCAGAAUUUGGAGACCUGAGUUCUAUUUCAUUGUCAAUUACAAUGUGUAGUACCGGUGAGCACACUGUACUGCUUUAAACAUAAUCAGAAAAUGAUAUUUUUAGAUGACUGCCAACUCAUAGCUAACGCGUGAUGAUGUUCGUCGCAAUGAAAUAUGUUUCUAGUUUAGUUAUAUUUCUUACAUGUUAUGGAGGAUAGCUGGAUCUGUGUUGUUCUGGCUCUGGGAAUAACCUUUCCAUAAACUAGUCCUAGUCCUAUCCACAUUCUAGGGGCGGCAGGUAGCCUAGUGGUUAGAGCGUUGGACAAGUAACUGAAAGGUUGCAAGGUCAAAUCCCCGAGCUGACAAGGUAAAAAAAAGGCUGUCGUUCUGCCCCUGAACAAGGCAGUUAACUCACUGUUCCUAGGCCAUCAUUGAAAAUAAGAAUGUGUUCUUAACUGACUUGCCUAGUUAAAUAAAGAUAACAUGCUGUAUGGUGGAGCUGUGAGAUAUUCAGAAGUGUGUGUGUCAAAUGCAGGGGCCCCCAGGGGUGGUUAGCAGUGGAGGCUGGUGGGAGGAGCUAUAGGAAGACAGGCUCAUUGUAAUGGCUGGAAUGGAACCAUGUUUCACUCUGUUCCAUUGAUGUCAUUACAAUGAGCCUGUCCUCCUAUAGCUCCUCCCACCAGACUCCUCAGGUGGAAGUGACAUUAUGGCCUAGAUAAUAUAAUAUAUUAUAUUUUGAUAUUUUAUUUCUCCAAAUAUAUAUUAACAUCAGCAUUUGUUCACAUGCAUUUGUUCAUAUUCAAUCAUGGUUCCAUCGACAUAUAUUUUUUCCUCUGUGUGACUCUGAAAUAUAUCGUAUUAUAUACUUAAGAUAUUUAUUUCAAAUGAUUGUCUUGUCCUGUGUUCUCAAUCUAUUCUAAAAUAUAGCUAUAUCAAAGUAUUUAUGAAAUAUUUAAAGAAUAAAUGGAUAUUGUUGUAUACAAUGUUAUUUAUUUUCCCUCCCUAAUUGUUUCCUUCUCUUGUAAUAUCUUGAACUGUCACUAACUGCCAACUAAAUGUCAGAUUAGAGGGCAUUUAAUGUGGUUCAGAUAAAACUACCACACAAUCACCCACAGAUGGCG
ensembl:lncRNA